ACGGCAAAUAAGGUGAGGAGGAGUUUGUCCAAUGAUGGUGAGUGAGACCAUUUUUGGUCAAAAGUGCAAGGAAGCAGUUCAGCGUGCAGGCCCUGUGAAUGGGGGUGCCCCGCGGGGCAGAGAAUACGCGAGUGCAAGUAAACGUCUGGAAACAGCGUGCACGCCUUGGUGGUCAGCAGGUCAGCUGGCUGGAGGAAUCUCCUGCGACUGGCAGCAUUCCAUUUGUGCCUGAUGUUCCUGUAAACUCCAGCCACAACCCCUGUGGGGAGGAGGGGCUGCUGUGGAGAAUGAGAUAUGAAGUUGAAAGCUGGCUGCGUAUAUCACUCGCGAACCUUCCAGACAACUGAAGAAUAACAAUGAAUACUGCCAUCUUCCCAGAGCUCCAGCACUAAUCUUUGUUAAGGCUUAGAGGAAACCACUUUUCUCAGUUUUGAUGUCUAUGAAUCUGCAAUCACUAAUGAAUGGGGAAAAGUCUGUGAAACAUUUAUUUCCUACAUCAAUGAUUAAAAUUAGCUGUUUUUAGAGCAGAAUGAACAACAUACAAAGCAGGUUGGACGACAUCUAUUUCACACAAUUGCAUCUCAGUUUCUGACCUAGGUAAAAUCCUGCAUAAAUGUAGGAGAAUCCUCUAUAUUAAUAUGUUCUGUAUUCAGGUUUAAGAGAUGUGCAUUUACAUUUACAUUUUAUUAAUUCAUCAACUGAUACUUAAGAAUUAAAACUCUCAAAAUCAGAAGACGAUGCUUUUUGGUAAAGAAAAAAAGAAACAGGCUAUAAGUAAAAACAGGUAUAAAAAUUAACACAAAACCUUUGAGUAAUGUAUUUAUCCUAUAAGCGGAAAAUUCUGAGAAUAAUGGAGGACUGAGGGGAUUAAAAUGCCACGCAGUAGAUGGACUAUUUCAGAUUUUAUAGUCAGGGAAACUGGCUUCGGGAGGACAGCUCUCAAUUCAUGUACUUUACGUAAGAGCAGUUCUUUCUAUAGGCCAUAAAGUUGUAGGUGAUACAAUCAACUGGGUUAUAAAAUAGCUUCUUUUUAGAAUGGAGAUGAUACAAAAAUCAAUUUCUACAACCAUCAUUUCCUCCUGAACACCUCUUUCACUUUCAACCUAAACUUACUCUCCCCUUUGGGAAUUCCCAGUGUAUUUCUUUGAGAUGUCUUCCACAUUAACAGUAGAGCCUACAAAGAACCAACAUGCAGAGGCUACUUGUCAAAGGGCACUUUCUGUAGGUAGUCUAAAAGAACACAAUUAUACACAUACACAAACGUGUACAGGUAUACGCAAAAGGGAAAAGGAGAUGCAAGAGUACUGUACUACUGCUUUAACAAAUGCUCUCACCCAAUCCACCUUAUCCAUCUUACAGGAUAGAAACACUAUUUAGGGUUUAAAAUACGCAAAAAAACAUUUUUUUUAAAUAUAUAAACCAUCUAUGGAAGCAUAUUUUGCCUUCUGUUAUGACCCUCAUCAUUCCUCAACUCAUAUUCUAAAAGCCUGAGAGGUGAAAAUCUUCUGAACAGCUGAACCACCCACAGAACCUGAAAAUUAUUAUACAUUUUGCACAUGAUUAACCUAUAUUCACCACUGAGGUUUAACCAAGAACCAGAUUCACAUAGGUAAUAGGGGUCACAACUACUUUUUCAUAAAAUAUACCCUCCUACUGGCCAGGUGAGGUGGCUCACGCCUGUAAUUCCAGCACUUCAGAUUG
rnacentral:lncRNA from 1 species